AACUUAUUUCUGCAAUCUAUGAUGAGACCCUCUAUUGGUUAUUUCCGCUGCUUAUUAUCUCUAUGACUUGAUGUGUGCUUGUGAGUUUUCUUUGAGGGAUUUCUUGCAGGAUUGCUUGAAUUGACAAAUUGUAUCAAAAAGGGGGAGAUUGUUAGUGCACCCUCUGUCAGGACAAACCAGAAGGAGUGCUGAUUGCUGGAACAAGCUGGAAGCUGUUUCAGAAGACUAAAGUGAAGAUCAAGUAAUUGAUGCUGACGUGGAUAUGCCGCCAAAUGAACGAAUGACGUGGAGACCACAACAGGAGGAGUUCAGUUUGGAAAGAAGAUAUUCACGCGAAGAUUUGGAGUGAUCCAAGAUCUUGAAGGCUAACCUAGAAGACCGAAGACCUCGAUGGUAUAAAUAGAGGUGCUAAAGUUCUUGUUAGACUUGGUCGUGAUUGUGAGUGAAAAAGCUAGUGCAACGCUUUUCAUUGUUAGAGACUAAGGUUUAGUCUGAUUGGAAUUCUAGAGAGAUCAAAGAGUGUGUUCUUGUGAUCUGCUCUUGUGUGUUUAGAAAAAUCUCAGGUGACAAGCUAAAGUAGUUUAGAUCUUGUGUAAAACCAAUUAAGGUAGUUGUAAACUUCUUAAUCAGAUUUCUAAUAAAGUGAUACUCAGUGGUUCUGAGUUUGGGGAAUACGAUUCUUAGGUUCAUCCGGAAUUUCAAAAAAUACUGGAUACUUCCAUGCCAUCACUAGGGGCAGAACAAUUCUAAACAAGUGCUUAGUGAUUGAGGAUAUGGAAGGUGUACCUGCUUAUCAAGAGGAGAGCAUUCUAAAGGUUAUAUCAAACUAUUUUCAGAACCUUUUUACAUCCCAAGACGGAGAGAGAAGCGACACAGUAAAAAAAGCUAUCAAACCUUACAUUUCAUCGGAAACCAACUUAGCUCUUAUUGUGAUGCCAUUGAAGAAGGAGAUAAGAAA
rnacentral:sRNA from 1 species